CCUACGGGUGGCUGCAGUGGGGAAUAUUGGGCAAUGGGCGCGAGCCUGAACCAGCCAAGUCGCGUGAGGGAUGACGGCCCUACGGGUUGUAAACCUCUUUUGUCGGGGAGCAACUGGCGCCACGCGUGGGGCCACCGAGAGUACCCGGAGAAAAAGCAUCGGCUAACUCCGUGCCAGCAGCCGCGGUAAUACGGAGGAUGCGAGCGUUAUCCGGAUUUAUUGGGUUUAAAGGGUGCGUAGGCGGAAUGUUAAGUCAGUGGUAAAAAUGAGGGGCUCAACCCCUUCGUGCCAUUGAAACUGGCGCUCUUGAGUGGAAGAGAAGUUUGCGGAAUGCGUGGUGUAGCGGUGAAAUGCAUAGAUAUCACGCAGAACCCCGAUUGCGAAGGCAGCAUGCCGGCUUCCAACUGACGCUGAAGCACGAAAGCGUGGGGAUCGAACAGGAUUAGAUACCCCAGUAGUC
rnacentral:rRNA from 1 species